UUGCACGAUGCUUAUAACAGUAACAUUAACAGCUGCAAUUCUACCAUCUCACGUAGACCAUUUACGAGAUAUCUUGAGUGAAAACUUGGAUUACACAAUUCCAGAACGUCAGAUGUUUCAGUCAUGAUGGAAAGGCUGACAGGUCCCUC